rnacentral:tRNA from 1 species
GCGAGGGUGGCGGAACUGGCAGACGCGCACGUUUGAGGGGCGUGUGGUUCACACCAUACGGGUUCGAUUCCCGUUCCUCGCACCA